ACACUACUCCCUCCGUUUCAAAUUACUCGUCGCAGAAAUAAAUGUAUCUAGAACUAAAAUAUAUUUAGAUACAUCCAUUUCCACGACGAGUAAUUCGGAAGGGAGGGAGUACUUG
rnacentral:pre_miRNA from 1 species